rnacentral:rRNA from 1 species
UUUGGUGUCAAUGCGACUGAAACACACUCGUUCCCAUCCCGAACACGAUAGUUAAGGCAGUCAGCGACGACAAUACUCGGCUGGAGACGGCCCGGAAAGAUAGUUAGACGCUAGGC